AUUAGAAAAUAUAAACAGUUUACUUUUUACUUCAAGUUGAACACACAAGUUUUAGAUACGAAAUUGUGAAAAUGCCAAUCCACUAAAUGUAGCUACAUGGGGAUUGAACGCACUUAUUCCGCACUUAUUCAUAAAAUUAUUAGUAGUUACUAGUAUGUCUGUAACCAAUAUUAUAUACAUCUUGCAUCUAGUAAUAGCCUUCGGGUAGGUUGAUACCUGUGUCAUUUAACAUCGUGCUUUCGGAAUAUAUAGAUUUCGGAAUAUAGAGAUUUUGGAACAUAGAGAUAUCGGAACAUAGAGAUUUCGGAACAUAGGUCUGUAAUAGGGUAACAAAAUAAUGAACAUUUGUCUACAUGUCAGUUAUAGGUGUGUAAUCGUAUAAAUAUAAUAGGGUGACAAAAUAAUGAACAUUUGUCUACAAGUCAGUUAUAGGUGUGCAAUUGUAUAAAUAUAAUAGGGCGACAAAAUAAUGAACAUUUGUCUACAAGUCUGUUAUAGGUGUGUAAUCGUAUAAAUAUAAUAGGGUGACAAAAUAAUGAACAUUUGUCUACAAAUCGGUUAGCCUGGAUGCUAGACCCUGGCAUUUCAUAGUGAUAACAGAUAAGUGAUAGGUCAAUUGUCCAGCUGCAGGUCCUGCAGUUUCAAGCAUUGAAAGCCCAACCCCUCCUCACGACAGAUAAGUGAUAGGUCAGUUGUCCAGCUGCAAGUCCUGCAGUUUCAAGCAUAGAAACCCUAACCCCUCCUCACGACAGAUAAGUGAUAGGUCAGUUGUCCAGCUGCAAGUCCUGCAGUUUCAAGCAGAGAAACCCUAACCUCACGACAGAUAAGUGAUAGGUCAGUUGUCCAGCUGCAAGUCCUGCAGUUUCAAGCAUAGAAAGUCCAACCCCUCCUCACGACAGAUAAGUGAUAGGUCAGUUGUCC